rnacentral:rRNA from 1 species
ACGCGGGCCGCACAAGCGGUGAGCAUGUGGUUUAAUUCGAAGCAACGCGAAGACUUACCAGGUCUUGACAUCCUCUGACAACCCUAUAGAUAGGGCUUCUCCUUCGGGAGCAGAGUAACAGAUGGUGCAUGUUGUCGUCAGCUCGUGUCGUGAGAUGUCGGGUUAAGUCCCGCAACGAGCGCAACCCUUGAUCUUAGUUGCCAUCAUUUAGUGGGCACUCUAAGGUGACUGCCGGUGACAAACCGGAGGAAGGUGGUGAUGACGUCAAAUCAUCAUGCCCCUUAUGACCUGGGCUACACACGUGCUACAAUGGACGGUACAAAGAGCUGCAAGACCGCGAGGUGGAGCUAAUCUCAUAAAACCGUUCUCAGUUCGGAUUGUAGGCUGCAACUCGCCUACAUGAAGCUGGAAUCGCUAGUAAUCGCGGAUCAGCAUGCCGCGGGAAUACGUUCCCGGGCCUUGUACACACCGCCCGUCACACCACGAGAGUUCGUAACUUCGAAGUUG